rnacentral:rRNA from 1 species
GCGAGUCGAAUGGGAUACCUAAAUUUCCCAUGGCAGACUGCUCAGUAACACAUGAUCAACUUACCCUAUAGAGGAAGAUAACCUCGGGAAACUGAGGAUAAUAUUUCAUAGUUGAAUCGGCUUGGAAAAGUUUUUCAAUUAAAGGAAUAAGAUAAAUGGUUCUUAUUUGCUAUAGGAUAGGAUCGUGGACGAUUAUGGUUGUUGGUGAGGUAAAGGCUCACCAAGCCGAUAAUCGAUAGGGGCCGUGAGAGCGGGAGCCCCGAGAUGGGUACUGAGACAACGACCCAGGCCUUACGAGGCGCAGCAGGCGCGAAACCUCCGCAAUACACGAAAGUGUGACGGGGUUACCCAAAGUGUUCAGUUUUGAACUGUGGUAGGUGAGUAAUGUCCCCUACUAGAAAGGAGAGGGCAAGGCUGGUGCCAGCCGCCGCGGUAAAACCAGCUCUUCAAGUGGUCGGGAUAAUUAUUGGGCUUAAAGUGUCCGUAGCCGGUUUAGUAAGUUCCUGGUAAAAUCGGGUAGCUUAACUAUCUGUAUGCUAGGAAUACUGCUAAACUAGAGGGCGGGAGAGGUCUGAGGUACUACAGGGGUAGGGGUGAAAUCUUAUAAUCCUUGUAGGACCACCAGUGGCGAAGGCGUCAGACUGGAACGUGCCUGACGGUGAGGGACGAAAGCCAGGGGAGCGAACCGGAUUAGAUACCCGGGUAGUCCCGGCCGUAAACGAUGCAUACUAGGUGAUG